rnacentral:rRNA from 1 species
UGCGGAAGGAUCAUUGUCGAAACCUGCCCAGCAGAACGACCCGUGAACAUGUUUACCGAUCAUGGGAGUCGGGUAAUGAUGGUGCCUUGUGUGCUGUCUUGCCCCUCGCCCAAGCUGGGGAGCUCACACCCGUGGGUUGCUCCCAGCAAAACAAACGAACCCCGGCGCGAAAAGCGUCAAGGAAUACCAAUUCAAAGUGCCUGCCCCUGUCCGGUCAUUCGGCAUGGGGGUCGGUGCCAUGUCCUAAUAUUAAACGACUCUCGGCAACGGAUAUCUCGGCUCUCGCAUCGAUGAAGAACGUAGCGAAAUGCGAUACUUGGUGUGAAUUGCAGAAUCCCGUGAACCAUCGAGUCUUUGAACGCAAGUUGCGCCCGAAGCUUCUGGUUGAGGGCACGUCUGCCUGGGCGUCACGCAUCGCGUCUCCCCCAAAGGAGGGGAAGGAUGAUGGCUUCCCGUGCCUCACCGGGUGCGGUUGGCCUAAAAUAGGGGCACACGGUAUGUAAUUGCCGCGACGAUAGGUGGUGAUCAGGGCCUCGGCCGUGUAAACAACCCGUUGCGGCGUUCGGCUCGUUGGACCCUUACGCUCCAAACCUUUGCGACCCCA